UGGAAAUCUUUCCAAUUUAUUGGAAUGAUACAGAGAAGAUUAACAAGGUCCCUGCGCAAGAAGAUGAUGACAUGAUGUGAAAUGGUUCAGAUUUUU
rnacentral:snRNA from 1 species